rnacentral:rRNA from 1 species
CUAGUUUCGGUGGAGCCGUCCUUGAAAUACCACCCUGGUUUGUUUGAGGUUCUAACCUUGGCCCGUGAUCCGGGUCGGGGACAGUGCAUGGUAGGCAGUUUGACUGGGGCGGUCUCCUCCCAAAGCGUAACGGAGGAGUACGAAGGUACGCUAGGUACGGUCGGAAAUCGUGCUGAUAGUGCAAUGGCAUAAGCGUGCUUAACUGCGAGACCGACAAGUCGAGCAGGUGCGAAAGCAGGUCAUAGUGAUCCGGUGGUUCUGUAUGGAAGGGCCAUCGCUCAACGGAUAAAAGGUACUCUGGGGAUAACAGGCUGAUACCGCCCAAGAGUUCAUAUCGACGGCGGUGUUUGGCACCUCGAUGUCGGCUCAUCUCAUCCUGGGGCUGUAGCCGGUCCCAAGGGUAUGGCUGUUCGCCAUUUAAAGAGGUACGUGAGCUGGGUUUAAAACGUCGUGAGACAGUUUGGUCCCUAUCUGCCGUGGGCGUUGGAUAUUUGAAGGGGGCUGCUCCUAGUACGAGAGGACCGGAGUGGACGAACCUCUGGUGUACCGGUUGUCACGCCAGUGGCAUCGCCGGGUAGCUAUGUUCGGAAGAGAUAACCGCUGAAAGCAUCUAAGCGGGAAACUCGCCUUAAGAUGAGAUAUCCCUGGGGACUAGAUCCCCUUGAAGGGUCGUUCGAGACCAGGACGUUGAUAGGUCAGGUGUGUAAGCGCAGUAAUGCGUUCAGCUAACUGAUACUAAUUGCCCGUAAGGCUUGAUCCU